UCGGACCUGCCCCCUGAUGAUUUAUUAAAGGNCCGCGGUAUUUUGACCGUGCAAAGGUAGCAUAGAUCAUUAGUCUUUUAAUUGAAGGCUGGUAUGAAUGGUUNGNCGAGAUAUAAGCUGUCUCUGUAUAAUGAUAUAUAAUUUAACUUUUGAGUCAAAAGGCUUAAAUAAAUAUAAAAGACGAGAAGACCCUAUAGAGCUUUAUAUAUAAUUGUACUUGUAUUAUUUGGAGGUAUUGUAAAUAAGUAUGAAUUAUAUGUUUUGUUGGGGUGACAUGAAGAUAUAAUAAACUCUUUAUUAUUUAAACAUUGAUUUAUGAUUAAUUGAUCCAUUAUUAAUGAUUACAAGAUAAAGUUACCUUAGGGAUAACAGCGUAAUUUUUUUUGAGAGUUCUUAUCGACAAGAAAGAUUGCGACCUCGAUGUUGGAUUAAGGAAUAUGACUAGGUGUAGAAGUUUAGUUAAUAAGUCUGUUCGACUUUUAAAUCCUUACAUGAUCUGAGUUCAGACCGGCGUGAGCCAGGUCGGUUUCUAUCUUUAUAUAUUAUUAGUUAAAUGCUUUAGUACGAAAGGACCAAGCAUUGGGAAAAUUUUUUAGAAUUUGAAUAAUAUUAACA
rnacentral:rRNA from 1 species